UCCUACGGGAGGCAGCAGUAGGGAAUCUUCCACAAUGGACGCAAGUCUGAUGGAGCAACGCCGCGUGAGUGAAGAAGGUCUUCGGAUCGUAAAGCUCUGUUGUUGGUGAAGAAGGAUAGAGGCAGUAAACUGGUCUUUAUUGACGUAUCACCAGA
rnacentral:rRNA from 1 species